rnacentral:tRNA from 1 species
CAAGUUAUCUAUAAGUUAAGAAUUUCAUUUACACUGAAAUUAUUGUCGUGCAAUUCGAUAUAGCUUGA